GAAAUAGCUCAGCUGGUAGAGCAUUGGCUUCCCAAGCCUUGUUUUACAAGGGUUUUUGACAACAACCCAAAUUAGAUUCACAACCUAAAACUUGUAAACAUUCACCA
rnacentral:tRNA from 1 species